rnacentral:rRNA from 1 species
UACCAGCACCCCGAGUGGUCGGGACGUUUAUUGGGCCUAAAGCAUCCGUAGCCGGUUCUACAAGUCUUCCGUUAAAUCCACCUGCUUAACAGAUGGGCUGCGGAAGAUACUAUAGAGCUAGGAGGCGGGAGAGGCAAGCGGUACUCGAUGGGUAGGGGUAAAAUCCGUUGAUCCAUUGAAGACCACCAGUGGCGAAGGCGGCUUGCCAGAACGCGCUCGACGGUGAGGGAUGGAAGCUGGGGGAGCAAACCGG